rnacentral:rRNA from 1 species
GUACACUCCUGCGGGAGGCAGCAGUGGGGAAUAUUGGACAAUGGGCGCAAGCCUGAUCCAGCCAUGCCGCGUGAGUGAUGAAGGCCCUAGGGUUGUAAAGCUCUUUCACCGGUGAAGAUAAUGACGGUAACCGGAGAAGAAGCCCCGGCUAACUUCGUGCCAGCAGCCGCGGUACUACGAAGGGGGCUAGCGUUGUUCGGAUUUACUGGGCGUAAAGCGCACGUAGGCGGACUAUUAAGUCAGGGGUGAAAUCCCGGGGCUCAACCCCGGAACUGCCUUUGAUACUGGUAGUCUUGAGUUCGAGAGAGGUGAGUGGAAUUCCGAGUGUAGAGGUGAAAUUCGUAGAUAUUCGGAGGAACACCAGUGGCGAAGGCGGCUCACUGGCUCGAUACUGACGCUGAGGUGCGAAAGCGUGGGGAGCAAACAGGAUUAGAAACCCCGGUAGUCCCA